rnacentral:rRNA from 1 species
ACUCCUACGGGAGGCAGCAGUGGGGAAUUUUGGACAAUGGGCGCAAGCCUGAUCCAGCAAUGCCGCGUGAGUGAAGAAGGCCUUCGGUUGUAAAGCUCUUUUGUCAGGGAAGAAACGGCAGUUUCUAAUACAGAUUGCUAAUGACGGUACCUGAAGAAUAAGCACCGGCUAACUACGUGCCAGCAGCCGCGGUAAUACGUAGGGUGCAAGCGUUAAUCGGAAUUACUGGGCGUAAAGCGUGCGCAGGCGGUUUUGUAAGUUUGUCGUGAAAUCCCCGGGGCUCAACCUGGGAAUGGCGAUGAAGACUGCAAGGCUAGAAUCUGGCAGAGGGGGGUAGAAUUCCACGUGUAGCAGUGAAAUGCGUAGAGAUGUGGAGGAACACCGAUGGCGAAGGCAGCCCCCUGGGUCAAGAUUGACGCUCAUGCACGAAAGCGUGGGGAGCAAACAGGAUUAGAUACCCUGGUAGACUGUCA